GUAGUGGAGGGAAUUAUAAAAUUGAAUGAGGUGGGAGUUUGUUAGCUCAUUUAAGCCGGCUGAAAUUGGAGCCAGUGGCAGGCAUUUGUUAACAGUACGGAGGAGAAUUUCUUUGUCCAGUAACUAGACUUAUCAAGAAUUGUACUGCUGCUCUUGUGUGACGUAUUUUUUAGCAUAUAAUUCUUGGAUCCCUUUGUUUAAAAUUUCUCGCGUUUUCAGUAUGGCGAUUUUUUCCGUCUCGACUCCCGGCGUUGUGUGGGCGGUGCGGGGGUGGGUUAAGGUGUUCGUGGAAAAGGUGGAAAACGAUGUAAAGUGCGAGAAUCGAUUGGUAGGGAAGCGGCAGCCAUUAAUCGUUGUGACGUCGCGGGCUGCAGAGGUUGAAGAAAUGGAUAGGUGCAUAAUUAUUUCUACAAUCCUGUGUAUUUUGAUCGUAUUUCGAGAAUUUUAUUUGAUGAGGCGAACCUAUGUUAAUUAAUGCGUCAGAAUUUGUAAGAGAUGAGUUGGAAACCCUGAAGUGAAGAAAUGUAAUCCAGCAUCACCUGUCGACAAGGGCAAAGGUGAUGACAUUGAUGGAGCAGUAUUACGAAGCCCUAAGAAUUAAUAUCAGACGGAAGACAAGAUUCUGAACUGUACAGUAUCAAGCAUUAUCAGAUUUAGUCUGCUCUUUAUCUUUUGAUGAGAGAUGUUUUGAUUUGUUAAACCAUUGACAAAUGUAUCUUUGCCAAAUUUUCAUAGGGUUUGUUGACUAGGUCUAAAUAAUGAAUAUGUUGUUGUCCAGCAACUAUAUAUGAAUAUAUAGUAUGUUUACACCGAAUAAACUUGCAUCAUCGGCUUACACCACAAGCUGAUGUACCCUUUCAGUUUAAUCCAAUCCAUUUGAUUUCCUGGAGAUCCGUGAUUUGACAUAUUCUAAGUAGAAUUUGAAAAUCAAUGAUUAAAAGCAUUUCCUUGUUUUAGACCACUUGGAAUAGAAAAUGCAUCAGUGUAAUGUCAUUUGUAUCAAGAAACAAUAACAAUGUUUUGUAAAUUA